AUUGAACGCUGGCGGCAGGCCUAACACAUGCAAGUCGAGCGAGCGGCGGACGGGUGAGUAAUGUCUGGGAAACUGCCUGAUGGAGGGGGAUAACUACUGGAAACGGUAGCUAAUACCGCAUACCAUCAGAUUUGCCCAGAUGGGAUUAGCUAGUCGUGGGGGUAACGGCUAACCUAGGCGACUAUCCCUAGCUGGUCUGAGAGGAUGACCAGCCAAACGGGAACGGAGACACGGGCCAGACGCCUACGGGAGGCAGCAGUGGGGAAUAUUGCACAAUGGGCGAAAGCCUGAUGCAGCCAUGCCGCGUGUGGGAAGAAGGCCUUCGGGUUGUAAAGCACUUUCAGCGGGGAGGCGUUACCCGCAGAAGAAGCACCGGCUAACUCCGUGCCAGCAGCCGCGGUAAUUC
rnacentral:rRNA from 1 species